rnacentral:rRNA from 1 species
GACAGAGGGUGCAAACGUUGUUCGGAAUUACUGGGCGUAAAGCGCGUGUAGGCGGCGAUGCAAGUCGGAUGUGAAAGCCCAUGGCUCAACCAUGGAAGUGCACCCGAAACUGCGUCGCUAGAGUCUCGGAGAGGAAGGUGGAAUGCUUGGUGUAGAGGUGAAAUUCGUAGAUAUCAAGCGGAACACCGGUGGCGAAGGCGGCCUUCUGGACGAGUACUGACGCUGAGACGCGAAAGCGUGGGUAGCAAACAGG